rnacentral:piRNA from 1 species
UACUUAGACAAGUUACUAAAGUCUGUGGGAC